GUCAUCCUACGGGAGGCAGCAGUGGGGAAUAUUGGGCAAUGGGCGCAAGCCUGACCCAGCAACGCCGCGUGAAGGAAGAAGGCUUUCGGGUUGUAAACUUCUUUUCUCAGGGACGAAGCAAGUGACGGUACCUGAGGAAUAAGCCACGGCUAACUACGUGCCAGCAGCCGCGGUAAUACGUAGGUGGCAAGCGUUAUCCGGAUUUACUGGGUGUAAAGGGCGUGUAGGCGGGGACGCAAGUCAGAUGUGAAAACCACGGGCUCAACCUGUGGCAUGCAUUUGAAAAUGUGGUUCUUGAGUUCUGG
rnacentral:rRNA from 1 species